UACGUAGGGGGCAAGCGUUGUCCGGAUUUAUUAGGUCUAAAGGGUGUGUAGGCGGAAAACUAAGUCAGUGGUGAAAGCCUGUAGCUUAACUACAGAACUGCCAUUGAUACUGGUUUUCUUGAAUAUAGUUGAGGUGGGCGGAAUGUGUAAUGUAGCGGUGAAAUGCUUAGAUAUUACACAGAACACCGAUUGCGAAGGCAGCUCACUAAGCUAUGAUUGACGCUGAGGCACGAAAGCGUGGGGAUCAAACAGG
rnacentral:rRNA from 1 species